UUGUAAGUCCAUUCUCCCCUUUACCCCCUUACUCUGUCCCUCUGCAUGAAUAUAUUAAACAUAAGAUACAAUUUUUAUUUGUUUGUGUAGAUGUUGUUGUUUUACUUUCAUGGCUUUAAGUUUUUUUGACCCUUUUGUUUGUUGAUUUUUAAUUCUCCUCUGCUUGAAUUGUUAGAUUUUGACACACAUAUUAAGAGAAAAGCGUUAAAAGACAUAAAUUUAAUAUAAUUUUUUAUUUUUAUCCAAAAAAAAUAAAAAAUUCAGUGUUUCAAGGCCAAAAUUGAUUCCACCAGAACAAAAUUCAAUUCGUUAUGUAUUCAUAUAUUAUGAUAUGAAUAUACCACAUCAAUUUGUUAUGUAUUUAUAUCUUAUGAUCUUGUAAUACCUUUUUAAAAGUCAAUUAAUUAUCAAAUUUUAAGGGCAAAUUUAGAAAAAUAUUGAAUAAUUGACUUGUUUUGAACACCAAUAAAUAUCCAACAAUUCACUUGUUCCGAAAUGGAGGAAUUAUUUACAAGUUUCUCUGUUUCUUCCCCUUUUGAUUUCUAUGCUGUUUUUAUGCAUCGUUGUGAGAGAAAGGCUGUUCAGGUUCUGUAAUGCCGUCGAUUUUACUUCCUUGUGCUUCUCUUUCUGAAAAGCGUUUUGUUGGGUUUCAUGAGGUUUAAUUAUUUCUUUAUUUCUUUAUUUCUUUAUUUAUUUAUUGUUAAUCAUGGUGUCCGGGCCAGUACCUCGACUAAAUCCCCACGAUACUCGUCACGUCCCACUAGAUAUCUGUCCACCAAGGCUAGGCUAGGUUUGAUGAGGCUUAAUAGGUUAAAAAGUUAUAGUAUUUAUUAAACAGGCUAUUUAGUUGUAAGAAAAAAUUGUUUGGUUAAAUUUUUUUUUUUUACCUUUCAAGAGAAUUGACAGGUAACUGCAACUUCAGUGUUAAUUGGUGGGAUAUGGCUUUCAUUAUUGUUGGCAUAUCAAUGGUUAGACUUAAUAUUUCUGUGUUCUAGCCCAUGAUCUAAAGCCUUCAACCCCCGCUCUGCCACAUAUUUUUGUUUUUACCCCUCCUUAGGAGCUCCCGCCUCCCCGCUUUGCGCCGUUGGUGACUUGAACACCCACGACCUCAAGGUCGGAGGUGUAGGGUGGUUACCUUGUCACAUAAUUUGCAUACCCAAAAAAGUUAUUUUUUAAAAACAUUUCAAAAGGUUGCCCUCCCCAUGUCCUGUUAUACUAGAGAAGGGGAAACCAGGGAAAGACUGAAUCAGAAGCUCUAUAUUAAUCCAUUUUGAAUUCUGAAGAACUAAACUUGGGGUUUUGUUUUGUCUAAUUUGUUGUUUGACAAAUUUCUGGAAGGUUGAACUCUUCUACUGGAAAUCUGAAAUUUUCUUGUUAGUGUUACAAGGAAAAAGUAUACUUGAUCUAAUUUAUUUUGAUGUUAUUUGAGCUGGUUUAGUGGGUCACUAUGUGGACAUCGUCUGGACUUAAUACGCUUAAUAUUUGUUGUUUGUGCUGUCCUUCCAGAAAAUGGGCAAUUUGUUCUGCUGUGUGCAAGUUGUCAAUUUGUUAUGUAUUUAUAUCUUAUGAUCUUGUAAUACCUUUUUAAAAGUCAAUUAAUUAUCAAAUUUUAAGGGCAAAUUUAGAAAAAUAUUGAAUAAUUGACUUGUUUUGAACACCAAUAAAUAUCCAACAAUUCACUUGUUCCGAAAUGGAGGAAUUAUUUACAAGUUUCUCUGUUUCUUCCCCUUUUGAUUUCUAUGCUGUUUUUAUGCAUCGUUGUGAGAGAAAGGCUGUUCAGGUUCUGUAAUGCCGUCGAUUUUACUUCCUUGUGCUUCUCUUUCUGAAAAGCGUUUUGUUGGGUUUCAUGAGGUUUAAUUAUUUCUUUAUUUCUUUAUUUCUUUAUUUAUUUAUUGUUAAUCAUGGUGUCCGGGCCAGUACCUCGACUAAAUCCCCACGAUACUCGUCACGUCCCACUAGAUAUCUGUCCACCAAGGCUAGGCUAGGUUUGAUGAGGCUUAAUAGGUUAAAAAGUUAUAGUAUUUAUUAAACAGGCUAUUUAGUUGUAAGAAAAAAUUGUUUGGUUAAAUUUUUUUUUUUUACCUUUCAAGAGAAUUGACAGGUAACUGCAACUUCAGUGUUAAUUGGUGGGAUAUGGCUUUCAUUAUUGUUGGCAUAUCAAUGGUUAGACUUAAUAUUUCUGUGUUCUAGCCCAUGAUCUAAAGCCUUCAACCCCCGCUCUGCCACAU
rnacentral:lncRNA from 1 species